rnacentral:rRNA from 1 species
CCCUUAGAUGUUCGGGGCCGCACGCGCGCUACACUGAAGGAAUCAGCACGUCUUUCUCCUUGUCCGAAAGGACUGGGUAACCCGCUGAACCUCCUUCGUGCUAGGGAUUGGGGCUUGUAAUUCUUCCCCAUGAACGAGGAACUCCCAGUAAGUGCGAGUCAUCAGCUCGCGUUGAUUACGUCCCUGCCCUUUGUACACACCGCCCGUCGCUACUACCGAUUGGGAAAAUUUUAGAGAGUCCUGGACUGAUGAUUGUUCGGCUUCACGGCCUUACUUUCGUCGGGAAAGAAUUCGAUAAUAUUUUUCUAGAGGAAGUAAAAGUCGUAACA